rnacentral:lncRNA from 1 species
GUAUUUGACAAGACCUUCAGUCUUAUGCAUACGUACAAACAUAAAAAUGAGGGAUCAAAACCCCGUAGUUCGUGGUAAAAAUUUCAAAAGAAAUUGUUGGAUUAAUUUUAACAAAAGUUUAAAAGAAAAAGGGCACAAAAUGACCAAAGAUUAAAUGAGGUUGUUAGUUCUUUUGUAUUUUUGAAAGUUAAGCCAAUAUGAUUAAGUUUAUUUACGAGGUUG